CAUGUAAUAUGUGUAGACUUGAUGAGACAUACAUAAGGCUAUACUAAGUAAUAAGUAACAUGUAAUAUGUGUAGACUUGAUGGGACAUGCAUAAGGCUAUCCUAAGUAAUAAGUAACAUGUAAUAUGUGUAGACUUGAUGGGACAUACAUAUGGCUAUCCUAAGGAAACAGUAACAUGUAAUAUGGGUAGACUUGAAGGGACAUACAUAAGGCUAUCCUACGGAAAAAGUAACAUGUAAUAUGUGUAGACUCGAUGGGACAUACAUAAGGCUAUCCUAAGUAAACAGUAACAGUAAUAUGUGUAGACUUGAUUGGACAUACAUAAGGCUAUCCUAAGUAAUAAGUAACAUGUAAUAUGUGUAGACUUGAUGGGACAUACAUAAGGCUAUCCUAAGGAAAAAGUAACAUGUAAUAUGUGUAGACUUGAUGGGACAUACAUAAGGCUAUACUAAGUAAUAAGUAAUAGUAAUAUGUGUAGACUUGAUGGGACAUGCAUAAAGAUAUACUAAGUAAUAAGUAACAUGUAAUAUGUGUAGACUUGAUGGGACAUGCAUAAGGUUAUUCUAAGUAAUAAGUAACAUGUUAUAUGUGUAGACUUGAUGGGACAUACUUAAGGCUAUACUAAGUAAUAAGUAACAUGUAAUAUGUGUAGACUUGAUGGGACAUGCAUAAGGCUAUACUAAGUAAUAAGCAACAUGUAAUAUGUGUAGACUUGAUGGGACAUACAUAAGGCGUAUCCUAAGUAAUAAGUAACAUGUAAUAUGUGUAGACUUGAUGGGACAUUCAUAAAGCUAUCCUAAGUAAUAAGUAACAUGUAAUAUGUGUAGACUUGAUGGAACAUGCAUAAGGCAAUCCUAAGUAAUAAGUAACAUGUAAUAUGUGUAGACUUGAUGGGACAUGCAUAAGGCUAUACUAAGUAAUAAGUAACAUGUAAUAUGUGUAGACUUGAUGGGACAUACAUAAGGCUGUUGUUAGGGGUAAUAUGAACCUGAUGGCAGCCAUCUUGUUCCUCGCAGCCAUUUUGUAAUGAAUAGACUUUAUUAUACUGGGUUAUGAUAGUUUCCUUAGCUAUUCGGCCUUGUCAAUGUACCCUGGCCCGACGCCCAGAAGAAGAUAGAAUAAGAUAAUGUAAACAAGAGGGUUCAGAAACCUUGUUGUCUCCGCAGAUGGUAGUUUGUUAUGACUCUGUAAGUAUUGUUAUGAGAAACUCAUGUUCCAGUUUUUCCUUGUACUUUGCUCUGUAUAACUGUGUAAGAUGACGCGGUCCUAACGUGUCAUCCCCUUAACCCUGUAUGUCACUAUAAGAAAGGCUUGCACUGUGCAAUAAACAGAAUUGGCUUUCGAUCAUAAUGCUGCGUGGUCUGAGUCAUUCUAAGGGGCCCUUAUCAGAUAAUCUACAUAUGCCUGAGGUGGUACACUAGGCCCCAGGCUUUGGCCUGCACUGACACUUACCCCCUGAAGGGGACACCUAACAGUUUUGGCGUCAGUUUGUGGGAUUCGCCGGGAGUAAGUAUGAGUGCUUCUACCAUGCUUUCUUUCUGUGAAUUUGAACCUAAAUUUAGUCUGGUAAUAGGUGUUGAUAAUAUAUGAUAAAGGGUUAAAGGGGUUCCUGUGGUUGAAGCACAGGUUUGCGGAGGUUAUAGUCCUGCCGGCAGUUGUGAUACCCCUCCAGACAGGUGUAGAGUCCUGUGCUGGGAUACGACAGGUAUUGUGAGUCCUGUCUGUGAAAAGCGCGCAAGAAAUAUAUGAAUGCCAGUCGACGGGAGGAUUUUUUAAGAUAAGGUCCCCCGGGCAACUUGGCAGAGUGAGUGAGUCUCACGUGUGUUAAAGUUUCCCAUAUUCAUUCCCAUAAUAGAGUUUUGUUACCCACCUGAAGCUCAUGUUGAUAUCUGAUGCUUGCUUUGCUUUGUUUGUGUUUUUUGAUGCUGUGCGUAGAAAAUAUUAAGUGGCUGUGCAUGUUAUUAUUGUGGCUAUUAUUGUAUUGAGAAAUGGGAACUGCUUAUAGAUAAGAAUGCACAGAGAAAAUUAAAGGUAUAAGGUAAAAGAAAAGAAGAGUUAAUAGUUUCUGCAAAAGACAGAAAUAUUUUUUAAAACACUGUCAGUGAGUACGGCUGUGUGAUUCAUAGAAAAAUCUCUGUGUUAAAAGAAUGUAGCAGGCAAAGAAGGGGGGCCACCACUGAGCGCGCACAUAGAUCAGAAGAAAAAAAAAAAGAGAGAAGAAACGGUUACAGCAGCUCCGUUUGUAAGACUUUUUGUUUGCUUGUUUAGGAAAAUUUGUAUAUUGAGAUGCAUAAUGUGUGAUGGUCUGUAGGUUCUCACUGUGGUAUGCGUGUAACAGAUUUACUUUAAACCAAAAACAGAAUAUAUUAUUUGAAAAUGAUUAUCCCAAUCCAGGCAAAAAAUUGCCAUUUUGCGUGGAAUCGGAAAGAAAAAUAAAUUUUGAACUUGGUGACAGGGUAAUCUGGUAAAUUUUAUAUGUAUGUCGUACGCUAUAAAUUAGAUGUUUUUCUGAGAAAGGAAAAAAGGGAGUAAAUCUCUGGUAUGCGAGAUGGAAUGAACUUGUGUGUCUGUAUCGUAAUAAUGUUUCUUUCUGUUUCUCUGCUGGGAAAUCAGACGUUUUUAGAAGAUAUUCGGAUGAGAUCAUGAAGCUGUCUUCAGAGAUUGAAACACACUAACUGAAUUAUUUUUGAGUUUCCAUAUUUAGGUAAAAUUUGUACAGGCAAAAUUCCAUAAGUGCACUCUUCAAAAGAUUAAAGAUUGAAAGCAAGUAAACCUUUAAAGAAAGAAAAGAAGAAGAUGAAAGACCUUUUGUCAAGCUUGUUUUAACCACCAUACUGCAGUAAAAAAAAAGUUACUGAACUAUUUUUGGAUCCAUUCUUUGCUUUGCAUGCUGGUACCAGCCCCAGAACUGGACUCUGGGUAAUCCAUGACUGUUUCCUCUGAUGUGUGUCUUCAGGACAUAAAGACUAUCCUUCUCUGGACUGUGCCUUACCGCUCGAUAUGGAGGUCCUGUUAUGCUGUUAAAGGGUCAACCAAUUAAAUUAGGGGAGUAUUGUUUUAACUCAAUUCCUUAUAUUGCUUGUUUUGUAUUCUCUUGUAUUUGUAUUAUUUUUAUUGAUCAUAUUGGGUAUAAGACAUCAUAUGCUUCAUUGGUAUUAGUGCACAUGGUAGUUUAUGUGCUUAACAAAGUAACCAUUUAGAUAAAGGUAACUGUGAACUGUGCAGUAUUGUACCCUAUUGAAUGACCCACUGAGUAUAAAAUAUGUUUAAGGAAAAUGUUACAACAUAGCAUAAUAUUUUAGACCCUUCACCCUUUAGAACAUAAGGAGGACACGUCUAAGCUAGAAGUUUAUAGUAAAUAUACAGAGAAAUGUUUGUUCAGGGAAUAGCAUAAUUAUAGGUUAUGAGAGCAAAUGUAUUUUUCCCUUUUAUCAAUUAGUAUGGUAUCUGCAAAGUGAAUUUGGUCAUUCCUGAUGUUUGUCAAAGAGAGUAAUUCUUACCAUAAAGAUGUGUUUACCUUUAAAAGAACUUGUAGUUUUAAAUGAUGUUCUGUUUGUAUGCUUUCCUCAUACAGGAGUGUGAGGCAAUGGAGGUUGCAUAAAAUAAUUAAUAAACUAGUAGUGUUUAUAUCAGAUGAGAUUGUUGAAUAUUAGGAUCAUGGUUGGAGAAUUAUAAACAUUAUAGAUAGCAGCCACCCAGAAUAAAGCAACACAAGGUUCUUUUUAUUUUUUUAGAAGUUCAAAGUGACAGUGUAAAGAAAUUCAUUUAUUUUUAUUGACUGUUUUCUUUUUUUCCAUUCUUACUACAGGGCAGGCCUUAGCAUAAGUUUUAGCAUAACCAUUCAGGCCCUUGAUGAAGUCUGGCAGGUUUUCACUUGCGUAGUAUUCAUGCAGUAUCAUUUAAAAGUGUAUAGAGAAGUUGUAAAUUAUUCUCUGAGAAAUAUCAAUGUAUUUAGUUUAUAUUAUAUAUCAACAAUGUUUUGUUUGAUUUUAAAUGACAUAGGAUGAAAGUGACGUUUUAUUUGGACAUAAUUGUGAUUGUAUUUCGGUGUGUACUCAUCCUGUACUGUUUCUGUUUGCUUCCUAGACUCCCUGUGACUCGAGUGUUUGCUUGCCAUGGGUAUCCACUGGUUGCCUUGUCUACCCCAUGAACAAACCAUCAGAUUUCCAGUAUCUCCCUGCGGAAGAACCGUGGAUAAGCACCCCUACUGCAAAUGAACUGUUGGAGAACUGUAUUAUAGCAAAGUGUCAAGGUGCAGCGCUCUCAAAUGGACAAAGACUGUUCCUAAAGUGUUCAAAGGCCACCUAGAGACAGUUGUGCUGUUGCUAUGUCAUGCUUUACUGUGGAAAAGGAACUGUUGGACAUAUUGGGGGGUGCUAGCAAUGCAGGUGGAGAGAUAGACGAUGCAGCGUUGUUUGGGGGUAGAUGGGGGGCUGGUUGGGUCUCUGUGCCGGUAGACCGGUAGUUUUGGGAAGGCUGGAAGUUAGAUGGAAGGUAUUGGAGGGGCUGUACCUAUAUGCAGUGACAAUUAUCCUAUAAAAGUAUAUCACGACACAGGAAUAUUUUUCUCUUUAGUAUUCUCACAGAGUUUUGUUACCAUAAUAUAAGGCUUUACUAAUUUUCUAUGCCUGUCUAUUUUUAUGUUAUUCUGUUAGAAUAAAAGGAUGGUAUGUUAGGGGUAAUAUGAACCUGAUGGCAGCCACCUUGUUCCUCGCAGCCAUUUUGUAAUGAAUAGACUUUAUUAUACUGGGUUAUGAUAGUUUCCUUAGCUGUUAGGCCUUGUCAAUGUACCCUGGCCCGACGCCCAGAAGAAGAUAGAAUAAGAUAAUGUAAACAAGAGGGUUCAGAAACCUUGUUGUCUCCGCAGAUGGUAGUUUGUUAUGACUCUGUAAGUAUUGUUAUGAGAAACUCAUGUUCCAGUUUUUCCUUGUACUUUGCUCUGUAUAACUGUGUAAGAUGACGCGGUCCUAACGUGUCAUCCUCUUAACCCUGUAUGUCACUAUAAGAAAGGCUUGCACUGUGCAAUAAACAGAAUUGGCUUUCGAUCAUAA